rnacentral:rRNA from 1 species
GUCUCAGUUCGGAUUGAAGGCUGAAAUUCGCCUUCAUGAAGCCGGAAUUGCUAGUAAUGGCAGGUCAGCAUACUGCCGUGAAUACGUUCCCGGGCCUUGUACACACCGCCCGUCACACCAUGAGAGUUGGAGAUACCCGAAGCCUGUGAGCUAACUUUUAGAGGCAGCAGUCGAAGGUAGAAUCAAUGAUUGGGGUGAAGUCGUAACAAGGUAGC